GACGAACGCUGGCGGCGUGGAUUAGGCAUGCAAGUCGGACGGUAGGGCUUUAUCGUAAGAUAGAGUUUGAGAGUGGCGAACGGGUGAGUAACACGUAGGAAUCUACCCUUAAGACGGGGACAACCCAGGGAAACUUGGGCUAAUACCGGAUGAGAGUGCGAGAGAUUGCAUUUAAAAGGAUGGCGAAAGUUGUCGCUUAGGGAUGAGCCUGCGGUCUAUUAGGUAGUUGGUGGGAUAAAAGCUUACCAAGCCGACGAUCUGUAGCUGGUCUGAGAGGACGACCAGCCACACUGGGACUGAGACACGGCCCAGACUCCUACGGGAGGCAGCAGUGGGGAAUUUUGGACAAUGGGCGAAAGCCUGAUCCAGCCAUGCCGCGUGCAGGAUGAAGGCCUUCGGGUUGUAAACUGCUUUUGUACGGAACGAAAAGGUCUUUUACUAAUAAAGAAGGCUCAUGACGGUACCGUAAGAAUAAGCACCGGCUAACUACGUGCCAGCAGCCGCGGUAAAAGUGUGUGUACG
rnacentral:rRNA from 1 species